rnacentral:rRNA from 1 species
AUGAGGAGCCUGCUGGGGGAGGAGCGCAGCUUCAUCAUCGAGAGCGACGACGACGACGAGGAGGAUCCCGCCCACAGGGGCGACGGCGUUGGCCAUGGGGAUGAUGGGUCGUCGUCGGACUCGUCGUCGUGCGCCACCCCGCGCGGCGGCGGCGGCGGCGGCGGGGACAGCCAGCCCAACUCCUACACCAACCAAUGGCCGCAGAGCUACAGGCAAUCGAUCGACAUUCUGAGCAACGUGCAGUCGCCGAGCCUGGGGUUCCUGGGGACCCCGACGCUGAGCCGGCUGUCCAACUCCUUCCUCAACAGCUCCUUCCUCAACAACUCGUUCCGAGGCAAAACCCCCGAGAUCGUCUCCAACCUCGUCAAGCCGCUCAUACGCCCCACGACAAGCGACGAGCAACAGCAACAGCAACAGCAGCAUGAGGAUAUCCGGAAGAGCUCGCAGUACCUCCUGCCGUCGAGGAAGCCGUCGCUGCAGCAGAUCCCCGAGGAUCAGAAGCCGCUGGUGGUUGGUCAUGAGGUUUCUCCCUACCAGCAGUGCUCUUACACCCAGGGAGCUAUGAACGGAAUAAAUGUUCUGUGUGGUGUCGGAAUCCUGUCGACGCCUUAUGCCAUCAAGCAAGGGGGGUGGCUGGGACUCGUGAUACUAGUUGUAUUUGCUCUGCUCGCAUGGUACACCGGUGUGCUGCUGCGCCGUUGCCUAGACAGCAAGGAGGGCCUUCAGACGUACCCGGAUAUCGGCCAUGCUGCCUUUGGAACCACGGGUCGCAUAGCCAUCUCGAUAAUUCUGUAUGUGGAACUGUAUGCCUGCUGCAUCGAGUAUUUGAUACUGGAAAGCGACAAUUUAUCCAAGUUGUUUCCCAAUGUACACCUGAGCAUUGGGGGCUUGACGAUAAACUCGCAUGUGUUCUUCGCAAUCUUGACGACGCUUGUUGUCAUGCCGACCACCUGGCUCCGUGACCUCACCUGUCUGAGCUAUAUUUCAGCUGGAGGUGUGGUUGCAUCAAUCCUUGUGGUCAUCUGCUUAUGCUGGAUUGGGGUUGUCGAUCAUGUCGGCUUUGAGAACAAAGGGACGGCGUUAAACCUCCCGGGAAUUCCUAUCGCGAUUGGACUGUACGGUUACUGCUACUCGGGACAUGGGGUGUUCCCAAACAUAUACUCUUCUCUGAAGAAUCGCAACCAGUUUCCUUCCAUUCUUUUCACCUGCAUUGGGUUCUCUACCAUUUUGUUUACUGCCGCCGCGGUGAUGGGAUACAAAAUGUUCGGCGAAGCCACCGAGUCUCAGUUCACCCUCAACUUACCAGAGAAUUUGGUUGUUUCCAAGAUUGCCGUCUGGGCUACGGUGGCAAAUCCAAUAACCAAAUAUGCAUUGACCAUAACCCCACUGGCCAUGAGUCUGGAAGAGUUGCUGCCGCGAAGCCAGCAGAAGUACUCCAACAUAAUUUUGCUUAGAUCAGCCCUGGUGGUGUCAACCCUCAUCAUUGCUCUGUCAGUUCCCUUCUUUGCGCUUGUGAUGGCUCUGAUUGGUUCUUUAUUCGCGAUGCUUGUGACCUACAUUCUUCCUUGCGCCUGCUUUCUGGCCAUCCUCAAGGCAAAAGCGACUUGGUAUCAGACUGCGACAUGCUCAUUCAUCAUCGCCGUAGGGGUUACCUGCGCCUGCGUGGGGACAUACUCAUCCCUCUCCGGGAUUGUCCAGAACUACGCAACCUGA